UUUCAAAAGUGUCCUUACUUCCCCCCAAAGUAUCCAAGUUUGGGUACAAUUUGGACAUGUAAAAAUAAAAAAUACAAGUCUCUCUUUAGUCACUCCUAGACCAUAACCAAGCAAUGGGAAUAUAAUUAUAAGUCACAGGCAUAAUUUAAAGUAUUUAUAAUCAUGAAUUCAGUAUGAAAUUAUCAAUGAGAUAACACAGCUGAUUGUGCAAACCUAGUUAUUUUCUGCAUGAAGCUGCUGUUCCUGCCUUUGAAGUCGGUUGUGUACUUUACACAUUUAGCACAACCCAGUUUGGACUGGCCAUAUUUCAAACGCUCAGCAGACAGCACCUAUAUGUGGUUAGUUGCUUUUAUGAAAAUUUCAGAGAACUACUAAGUUCAUAGAACUUUUUUUUGUUGAAAAAGGACCACUAAUGAUUAUACAUUUUAACUCCUUUAUUGCAUAAAUGAUGAAGCCUGAUAUCAGAAGAGCAUCUACUCAUGUUGGCCAAGGGACCCAAUAGCUAGCACCUUGCCUUAUUUCUGACACAAAUGUGAAGCAUGGCAAAGAUUAGGGCAGAGGGAAGAUCGAAACCACCAUGAGGGUAGUGCAAAUGGCACCUGUGAAAUUGUGCAGUACACGUCUAUACAGCAACCCUCUUCAUCUGUAUUAGCAAUAAAAUCAAUUUCAGAUGAUGUGGCUCUUAUCUGCAAGUAUGUGGGUUUCCAAUUAUUGGACAUCAGAAUUGGACAGACAUGUUCUAAUCAUGCAGAAGAAAGAGGAGGGGGGCUGGCUGACAAUUCCCCAGCUAUUACUCUACAGAAUGAAUCUCCACCUGGACAUAAACUCUAGGCCCAGGGAAACAGCAGGCCACGUAAAUCAUGGUGACCAGCCCAAGGAUCUGCAGGGAAUUAGGAGUAUUGGUGGAAGCAGCAAGUGUUCUUCUUCACUUCCUUCCCAGAGGGCAUGGGGCAGACAGAGCUCCAUUGUGGAGAAGACCAGGGGCUCCUUCAGUUUACUUUAACCACGUGAGCAGUGGGUUUCAGACACCACAGGAAUGCAGCAGUCGCAGAUUUAAACAGCCCACUCUCCACUCUCAUUCAGUGCUGUUUCCCAAUGGAGGACGGACAUUCACACCAUAAUCAGGCUCAGCGCUCUGGACCAGGAGCCCAGAGGGAACUGCUGGGCUUUGGCUGGGAUUCCAGAGAGGGCCUCUCUGGGGAGAUGGGGCCUGGCCUGAAAUCUAAGAAACAAGAGGACUUGAUGGAAGGGGAAGAAUUGAGCCAUUGGAGGUUCCAGAAUUAAGAAAGUGUCAAGAGGGAGAUAGGACCCCCAGCUGGGGGCACCUGGCUCCUCAACAUCAAACCUCUCUCCCUUUUUUCCCUGGGUUCAGUCAUCUGACUGAUACCAGGUAAAGUUCAGGGUCACAGGCUUCUCAUUCUCCUUCAGUUUCAUCUUGGUCGUGGACAUGUCCUCCUUCAUCCUUCUCACUGACCACUGUGUUCCCUUCAGACAGGCAGCUCUUGGCUGUCCUAC
rnacentral:lncRNA from 1 species